GCCGGUGGCGAGCCUGUAGUCCCAGCUGCUGGGAGGCUGAGGCAGGAGAAUGGCGUAAACCCGGGAGGCGGAGCUUGCAGUGAGCUGAGAUCCGGCCACUGCACUCCAGCCGGGCGACAGAGCGAGACUCUGUCUCAAAAAAAAAUAAUUAACUUACUAUUUUUUUUUUUUUUUUUUUGAGACGGAGUCUCGCUGUGUCGCCUAGGCUGGAGUGCAGUGGCCGGAUCUCAGCUCACUGCAAGCUCCGCCCGGGUUUACGCCAUUCUCCCGCCUCAU
rnacentral:SRP_RNA from 1 species